rnacentral:lncRNA from 7 species
UCGCUCUCCAGUCACUUCCGCUCUCUCUCGCCCUCACUGCUCACCGGCGUUGAGCUGUCGUUCUCGUUUCUUCUCGAGUCGGAGCACGUCGUCGAUCGUGUGGACACGUUCGCGAAGCCACUGGCCAACUCCAGCACGCUUUGCUCGCCUUCAAAUAGUCGGAACAUUCAGUUUUCUUGCUUUUUCUUUUCUCUGUUGCCGACAGCCAUCUUCACCGUCGCCGAUCAAAUUCGCGUUGCUUGAUCGAUCAAACCUCAAAUUUACUGCAUAUUUAGCUUCACAGCAUCCUUGCGCACCGUUUGGUCCAGCUCUACUCGUGUGUGAUCGCCGGAAUCACUCUCGCGCCACCGUCUUCCUCCGCGGCGGCCACAACACGCCGGAGCUCCGCCUCACCGUGGCCAGAGCUCUAUGCUAACGCGUCGGAAUGUCGUUGCCAUCAUCGGAGAACGCUGUCGUUGCCGCUGUCACCGUCGACAACCUAUCUCUACUCCAUCUCCGCCUCAACUAGCUAGCUCUAUCGCUUCAGGGUGACCACCAGGAAUCGGUAUGUUUAGGACCGUGCUGUAUGACGGUCGUUAACGAGAGCGAUGAAGAAUAGACAUUGAAGUUAGGAAAGGCAGGGCCUUUCAUAUGAUGUAAUAUACUCUAUCAUACCUCACUACUAUGAGUUGUAAUAAUAAGUUUCAAACAAAGCAGUUUGUAAAUUAAGUUAUUGUAAAUCUUUCCGCUAUUGUACUCUGGUAUAUAUAUGUGUUGUAUGAAAUGUUGUAAUACUGUGAUGUUUUGCGAAAUGGUGAUCUGGCUGGGA